rnacentral:rRNA from 1 species
UACGUAGGGACCAAGCGUUGUUCGGAUUCAUUGGGCGUAAAGGGUGCGUAGGCGGCGCGGUAAGUCGGGUGUGAAAUCUCGGAGCUUAACUCCGAAACUGCAUUCGAUACUGCCGUGCUUGAGGACUGGAGAGGAGACUGGAAUUUACGGUGUAGCGGUGAAAUGCGUAGAUAUCGUAAGGAAGACCAGUGGCGAAGGCGGGUCUCUGGACAGUUCCUGACGCUGAGGCACGAAGGCCAGGGGAGCAAACAGG